UACGAAGGUGGCAAGCGUUACUCGGAAUUACUAGGCGUAAAGGGCAGGUAGGUGGUCUGAUAAGUCUGUUGUGAAAGCUCCUGGCUUAACUGGGAGAGGUCAACAGAUACUGUCAGGCUUGAGUAUGGGAGAGGGUACUGGAAUUCCUGGUGUAGCGGUGAAAUGCGCAGAUAUCGGGAAGAACACCCGUGGCGAAGGCGGCUCUCUGGGACGGUACUGACGCU
rnacentral:rRNA from 1 species